AUUGAACGCUGGCGGCAUGCUUUACACAUGCAAGUCGAACGGUAACAGGCCGCAAGGUUCUGACGAGUGGCGAACGGGUGAGUAAUGCAUCGGAACGUGCCCAGACGUGGGGGAUAACUACUCGAAAGAUUAGCUAAUACCGCAUACGAUCUAUGGAUGAAAGCGGGGGACCGUAAGGCCUCGCGCGAUUGGACCGGCCGAUGUCAGAUUAGGUAGUUGGUGGGGUAAAGGCUCACCAAGCCAACGAUCUGUAGCUGGUCUGAGAGGACGACCAGCCACACUGGGACUGAGACACGGCCCAGACUCCUACGGGAGGCAGCAGUGGGGAAUUUUGGACAAUGGGCGCAAGCCUGAUCCAGCAAUGCCGCGUGCAGGAAGAAGGCCUUCGGGUUGUAAACUGCUUUUGUACGGAACGAAACGGCUCUGGUUAAUACCCGGGGCUAAUGACGGUACCGUAAGAAUAAGCACCGGCUAACUACGUG
rnacentral:rRNA from 1 species